rnacentral:sRNA from 1 species
ACAGCACCUGCGACCUGGAGGCCAUCAGCACAGGGUCACCAGCCACAUGGAAGUAGAUGAGGAGGGGAGGGAGAAGAAAGGAUGUUGAAAAUGCUCAGUGGCAUUACGGGAGCAUUUCUGCAGUUUUGUUUCCAGUCUGGAGUUUUUAGUGGGAUUUCAUGAGGUGCAUCUUCUGAGAAAUGCUGGCGAUGAAGUUACCAUCACCGUUGAGUAUCUCAGGGAAGCGCCGGCAUUUCUGAAGCUCCCGUUAGGGUCCCCAGGGCCAUCCAGCGACCACAGCAGUGGGGCCUCCUCUCCCCUCUUUGACAGUGGUUUGCAUCUGAACGGAAACUCCAGUACCACAGCUCCAUCGUCACCUUCCUCGCCCAUAGCUAAGGACCCAAGGUAUGAGAAGCGCUGGCUGGACACCUUGUCCGUGCCUCUGUCCAUGGCUCGCAUCUCAAGGUACAAAGCCGGAACGGAAAAAUUAAGAUGAAGAUGGUGAACAAAUGCUGCUCUCCUUCUGACCAGCUAAAGGAAAAGACCAGCUGCAUGUUAUCAUCUGGUGGACACUUAACU